rnacentral:rRNA from 1 species
AUGGGCAUUAACAGCCUAGCAGGAGAAAUUCCAGAAAAUAUUGGCCACACCCUUAGAAGCAUCCAGACAUUCAUUGUCCAAGGAAACAGAUUCGGAGGUCGUAUUCCCACUUCAAUGGCCAAGGCCAGAAAUCUGCAGAGAAUUAAUCUCCGUGACAAUGCAUUCAAUGGUAUUGUUCCUUAUUUUGGGUCUUUGCCCAACUUAACUGAACUAGAUCUAGGCAAGAACCAACUCGAAGCUAGAGACUGGACUUUCCUCCACUCGCUCGCCAGUUGUACAAAGCUGGCUAUUUUACGUUUAGAUGCGAACAACCUACAAGGUGAACUGCCAAAGUCCAUAGGCAAUCUUCCAAAAAGCUUAGAAUCUCUACUGUUGACAGCCAAUAAAAUAUCUGGCACUAUACCACAUGAGAUAGGGAACCUUACUAGCCUCAAACUUCUUUACAUGGAACACAAUUUGCUUACUGGAACCCUUCCUGACUCACUUGGAAACCUUUCAAACUUGUUCGUUCUAAGCUUAUCAGGAAACAAGCUCUGGCCAAAUCCCACUUUCAAUUCAUAA